rnacentral:rRNA from 1 species
UACGUAGGGUGCAAGCGUUAAUCGGAAUUACUGGGCGUAAAGCGUGCGCAGGCGGUGAUGUAAGACAGGUGUGAAAUCCCCGGGCUUAACCUGGGAACUGCAUUUGUGACUGCAUCGCUGGAGUGCGGCGGAGGGGGAUGGAAUUCCGCGUGUAGCAGUGAAAUGCGUAGAGAUGUGGAGGAAUACCGAUGGCGAAGGCAGCCCCCUGGGAUAACACUGACGCUCAUGCACGAAAGCGUGGGGAGCAAACAGG